UCUGCAGGGCCUGGCUGAGCUCCCUGGAGCCCAGGGCCUCUCUGCAGGGUUCCUUGUGAGGCCAAAGCAGCUGCUCCCUGUGCUCUCUCUGGGGUCGCUUGGAGAAUCUGUGUAAAGAAUGUUUGUUAAAGAAUCAUAACUGCUUGCCAAGUCUCGUCUAAUAUACUUCUGCAAGAGAAAAAGGGAAGAACAGAGGGUUUUUUUCUAGGAGCUCCCAGAACAAAAUCUGCAGCGUCACAUUCCUAAAAAGGAGCUGCUAAACCUCUGACACUUUCCUGUGACAACUUGCAAAUAACUUGCUGAAUUCCCUGGAUGAUGAAGAUGGGUUCUUCAUCCUGAGGUGAACAGGAAUAUCCUCACUGCAAACCACCAGGAGACACACAAAUCAGAGAUCAGAGUCACAGCCAGGUAAAGAAACGUAUCCUGAUCCAUAGAAAACUGCAGGACUGUGUGAUUGGCCUCUGCAGUCAGCUCCGCUAGUCUGAAUCUUCACUGUGAAAACACAGGAACGUCGGCACGUAAGUAGCAAGACAAUCAGGGCUUUU